GCGCCCAUAGCUCAGCUGGAUAGAGCAUCAGACUACGAAUCUGGGGGUCAGAGGUUCGAAUCCUCUUGGGCGCACCA
rnacentral:tRNA from 1 species